rnacentral:ribozyme from 1 species
UGCCCAUCAAUAGCUAUCCCUACCUUCUCGUGGUACUGGCCGGGGUACGAGUAACCUUAGGGAAGA